UAUGAAAUUACUGGUGAAGUGAUUCAAAGGUUGUGGGUUCGAGUCCCACCGGAGUCGAGUUUUGACGUUGAGGGAUGCGGGAUAGCGGGCAGCAUCCGGGAUUCACCUGUUCUCCCAUUUUUGUUUUGAGAGGGCAAAGAGGCCCAGAGGAGCGGUUGCAGCUAAAGUUUGAUGGAGAGGCAAAGGUGGGGUAAAGAGAAAGGAAGAAGUGAUGACUGCCUCUCGCAUCUCUCGGAAGGCUUAAGGCAGAGACCCGGACGGAGCGACUAUAUCUGAUCGUACAUGUCCUUGGAUAAACCCCAAGCAGGCACGCAAGAAAUCCAGGGCGAUAGCUCAGUAUCAGGCCGCUGUGGAAGACAUGUCUACAUAGGGAAGGAUCCCUAUUUAAACGCUGCAUAUUCUUCAACUUUUGAAUUCCGUCUAACCCCAACCGCACAAGAAUGUGAGAUGACGCAACCGUCAAAGCACGCUGUGAGAACAUUUAUCAAGUGACUCUCCGAUUGCUUACAGUGAAGCAGCAACAUGAAGCGUCAAUGCGAAUUUGACACAUAAAUGCCUAAUCAUUUAAUUUUGCUACCGAGAAAAACUAAUCGUGUACAGCUCAAUUUCAAAUGUAGUCGCAUGAUGUCUGGUGUUUGUGUGACAUGUUGUGUUGUGUGACAUGUUGAUUGGCAGGCUGUUGCGGCUAUUGUAAGCAAUGGAUUCUCUUUCUUUGGCACAUUCAUGUAUAUAGGGCUACCUUAUAACUUGAAUAGUGAUACACAAAAUAAAGAAUGAAAUAUGCAGUCGCAGCAUUCAAGCAUGCUACAUUUAAACGCAACACACAAUAUAUUUCUAACAGUAGGCCUAUAUGCUCCUACUUUUGUUUAAAAAAAUAUUGAAAGCAAUAAUAGUAAUUAAAAUAAAACAAUAAU